GAUCCUGGCUCAGGAUGAACGCUAGCUACAGGCUUAACACAUGCAAGUCGAGGGGCAGCAUUUUAGUUUGCUUGCAAACUAAAGAUGGCGACCGGCGCACGGGUGAGUAACACGUAUCCAACCUGCCGAUAACUCGGGGAUAGCCUUUCGAAAGAAAGAUUAAUAUCCGAUAGUAUAUUUUCUCCGCAUGGCAAGAAUAUUAAAGAAUUUCGGUUAUCAAUGGGGAUGCGUUCCAUUAGUUUGUUGGG
rnacentral:rRNA from 1 species